rnacentral:lncRNA from 1 species
AAUACCCAUUUCAAUCACGUCUCGAUCAAUGCCUCGUCAACGUCUCGUUCAAUUCUAUACGAUAGUAAAAUAGUAUUUCAGUCGUCGGAUCAGACGGAUUAACUAAUUCCGAAAGCGUUAGGACCUAUAUAUAGCUACCCUUCGCUUAUACUUACCACAUAGUCAGAUAAACACAUAGCACAUAAUUGCAAAAAUAACCCUUUUUAUAGCUACUAAAAUACAUAUAAUUUCUAACGAAAAUUCGGCAGCAUCUCCUCUGUUUAUAGUCUUAUCCACCUGUUUGCAGUACCAACAACCAGCCAAUACUAUUGCUUACACAUGAAUUAUUACUAUAAAAAUCUGCCUUGACAAGCAUUAAACACAUAAGAAAAUCUGCCUUGACUUGCAUUAAGCAUAUAAUGAAAUCUUUUAGCAGGAUUGCUAAUUUUUUAUACACAAAACACGUUUAAUUAGAUAUACAAGGUUAACCGAGCCAAUCCCUUUCAUAAUCAAUCAUAUGCUAUUAACCAAGUAUAACCUCAUACUAUGCACUAACAAAGAAAGAAGACUAGAACAAAUAGUUCAAACAGCCCUCACUCUAAGAUUUUUAAUAAAUUGAGAAUUUAUCAUUUUAAUACGAAAUUUUUAUGAGACACUCCUAAACAUUAUUCCAAUCUACUAUAAAAAUUUCAGAACCAAAUUCCAUGUUUAAGGGAGUAAACCAGGGCCUGCAAGUCAGGAACCUGAAUUUGUCCUGCAGAACCAGCCCCACGCUAUGAAUUUUAAUAAAUAGAAAAUUUGGUCUGUUUGUAUAAAAUUUUAAUGACAUAUUCCAGAUACUAACAUCUAACUCCGGUAAAAAUUUCAGAAGAAAAUCUCAAGUUUAAAGUAGCAAAACAGGGCCUAGAAUAGGACACACCUGCCCAGAAUUUUCUGCUCAACUCACACUAAAACAUACAUAUCCUUUAGCUUGUUUAACGAAACUUUGAAAUUCUUUUUCGUACUUGAUCUACACUUCAAGGAGCAUAUAAUCACAGAGAGAUUAGGCAUAGUUCUAACUUAACAGUUUCAAAACAGAUAUGCAAAACAGGGCAUAACCGCUGCGGAAACUUGACAACAAUUGACUUAGUUCUAAUACCACAACUCUAAUUACUCAAAACCCAUAUUCACAAAUCAAACAUCAAUAACCAGAAAUCAUAAACUCAAAAUCAUAGCAACUAAUUCCUAUACUUCAUUUAUAUAUCAAAUUAACAUCCACAUCAAGUUAAUCUCUCAACCAGUAAUAUGAUCAUAUACACAUAUAUAACUAAUUUAUCAAAGAAAGGUGUAUACCCACUGAUAACAACAAAAGUACACAUAUAUAUAUAAUCUGAUUCUAACAAAAAAAAUUAAUAAUACCCACUAAUUCGGAAUAAGAGAUGCAAGGGGUGAAGUGCUCGCCGGAAUCACACCCAUCGCCAAUACACCACCACUUGCUGCCAACCACAACUCCCCCGCCCCGUGUUACUUCAUCUCGCUCUUCUAUCACAACGUCGUCUCAACCCCAGUCUCCGCCAUAAUCGAACCUCCGGCGACUGCUACCAACACCUCCACCAUCAGCAGCCAGCACAAGCCCACAAACAACACGACAAUCACCCUAUAUAGAUACACGUAUAUACAUAUAUAGUCAAGCACACAUGAAUUUGAAUGUGAAAAGAUUGAACUCAAUUCUUUUGCCCUCUGAUUGAAUCCUCUGUAUAAAAACAUAACCCUAAAACUUAUGUGUCCUUACCCCAAUUCUCUCUCGCCGACUCAACACAAAUUUUCUUUUCUUUUUGUUUUCUAUUUUUAUUAUACUAAAAAUCAAACCCCCAAUUCUAAUUGAAAAGCUAUUUUCAUAAUUUUGGGCCUCAAAAUAUUCCCAAAAUUUAAAAAUAACUAAAAUUCAAAUUUAAC